GAUGAACGCUGGCGGCGUGCCUAACACAUGCAAGUCGAGCGGCAGCGAGGGGUGCUUGCACCCUGUCGGCGAGCGGCGGACGGCUGAGUAACUCGUGGGAACGUGCCCCAAAGUGAGGAAUAACUGCCCGAAAGGGGAGCUAAUACCGCAUAUUAUCUUCGGAUCAAAGGAUUUUUCCGCUUUGGGAGCGGCGCGCGUCGGAUUAGGUAGUUGGUGAGGUAAUGGCUCACCAAGCCGACGAUCCGUAGAUGGUCUGAGAGGAUGACCAGCCAGACUGGACCUGAGACACGGUCCCGACUCCUCCGGGAGGCAGCAGUGGGGAAUCUUCCACAAUGGGCGAGAGCCUGAUGGAGCAGCGACGCGUGCAGGACGAAGGUCUUCGGGUUGUAAACUGCUUUUAUAAGUGAGGAAUAUGACGGUAACUUAUGAAUAAGGAUCGGCUCACUACGUG
rnacentral:rRNA from 1 species